rnacentral:lncRNA from 1 species
GCAAUAAGCUGGACAUUUUAAGAGAACUGCUACCAGGACAUGUAACAAUAACAACAAAUUAAUUGUAAUUAACACCCACUGUAUCCUAGAUAGCAAGGGUAAUCACCAUCAGCAACCCACUUAUAUUCCUUGGACCACUCAGUCCAACAUCUAGUUGGUAGGCAUCUGCAGCUCUGUAUCAAAAAGUCCUACUCAUCUAGGGAAUCUGGAAAUGCCAGGAAAUCAACACCUUCCCCAACAGUCCUUAACCAAAUGACUGACAGUCUUUGCACACUUAGCCUCCUCACCCUAUGACUGGGCUUAUUCUGUAGCACAUGUUACUACACCUUCCCAGAGUUUGUUCUUGAGGGUAAGCUCCGGCCGCUCACUGUGACAGCAAGCUUCAUAAUGUGCAUUUUGUUGAUCAUUUUACUGUUCCAAUAUUUCCACUGGACUAGCUCUGUUUUAUGGGAUCAACUCUCGCAUUUCUUGUAUUUGAAUCCUUGUGUCAGAAUGUGCUUUGGGGAGACCCCACGCUAAAACACCUUACCAGUGCUUUUCAAAUAAAUGCUGUAUUAUUAAUUUUCAUGAACCAGCUGUGAGUUUGAUUUUACUAAUACCACCCUGUAGUAGUGUACUUAUAAUGGUACGGAUGUAACACUUAGGAAACUGUAAAAUUAUGAGUAAAGCUUCUGUUUGUAACCAUGGGAAAACACAAAUAAACACCAGCUGAUCUAUAUCGAAUGAGCUGAUCUAUAUCUAGGUGGUCGAGAAUGCCAACAAUCAAAUCUUUACAACCACCGAUGUACCCAUAUAAAAUGUCUAUCCUGUGUAUAAUUAUUUUAAUUUGAUGAACCACACAGACAAAACUAAUUAAAAAUAAAUGAUACAAAAUGAACAAAAAUUAUUUUUCAGCAAAAAGUACAAACUAUUGCACAUUACUUGGUUAUAAAAAAAUUCUGGUUGGAUAGGAGUUGAAGUUAGUGUGAGAUGUGGGCAGAGGCUAGUCCUAGUAUAUCUGGAUCCCAUCUCCCAGUAGUCAGAAAGCAAAUACUCUAUUAAUGUCAAGAAAUUACAGCCAUAUACAUCAAAACCUGUCCAUAAUUGAAUACAUGAUUAACUGGGGAAAGACAGAAAAUUAGCAAAUACAUUUGUUAAAAGAAACGUAAUUGUCUUUCCUUUGCCUUAUUUCUUUGUCAGUUUAUUUUUUAAUAUAUGGAGAAAAAUAACGUGGGUCAAAUUGGCUGUGGGGCCUUAGAGAGUAAACCAAUGUUAGGAUGGGAGGCGAGGAAAUAAAUAGAUCUCUAAAUAAGUGGCUUGCUGGUACAAAUGGUUUCCCCAUCAUAUUCCAAUAAAUCAUCAUUUACUAUCACACUAAGCAUGACAGAUUUUAUAUUGUGACUUCUAAACAAGGAAGCAAUUUUUUUUUUUUCCUUUCUGCCUAGUCUUGAGUCUGCCAUCUCCCACCUGAACUUUUUCUUUAGGGUUUUAAUUUUUUUUUUUUUAAAUUAGUCUGUCUUACUGUGACAGAUACUUCCCCUUUUUAAUUUUUUUAUUUAUUAAGUGUUUCAGAUUGGGUAAAACCAAACAUAGAAAUAUGUAUUGUGUUUUCAUUAGAAUCAGCACAAAAAUUUACACAUUAUUUUCCAACAGAAAUAGCAUUCCAAGUGGUGUUUUGAGCAUUAGCCUAGCCCUUACGUGUCUAUUUUCUCCAAAAUAUAUUUUAGCUACCUUACUCUGUGAAUAUUAUUUAUAAUAACGUUUCUCAAACUUGAGUAAUGCAUGUAUAGCAUUAAAGAAAACUUCUUCAAACUCCCAGGACUGGGAAAAUAUUUUUAAUCACAUUUUAGUUAAUCAUACAUAAGUUUAAAAGUAGGUACAAUCUCAAAGUAGUAUCAUUCUUAUAAAAUUACAAAUGAAAUAAAAACAAAACAAUAACAAAAUAUACAAAAUAGCUCUAGUUUAAAAUAACAAAUGAUGCUGCUUUCUUGAUACGGUAUUGUUUCUCUGACGUGUAUGGUAAUAUAUGUCAUAAUAUUAUAUUACAUGUGCACUUGUGUUGUUACAUGUACAGCAACUUUCCUACCAAAAUGUCUUUUCAAAUAUUUAAAGUUGGUAAUACAGGACAUUUUGAAAUUAUUUGGCCUUCAUUUAGCAUGAUGGAACAUAAUAAGUCCAAUAAAUUUAAAAUAUAGUGUACUGUGCCAAAAUGAUUACACAUGCAAAUAGAAAAGCAGACAUUGGAACUGGCUGGUCAUAUUUCAUUAAAUAUUUUAGAUUAUUAUUGACAUCAAAACAAAAAAUAAGAAUUGUCAGUCAACCACUAUACUCCUAAUUUCUGGAGAUUUUAUAAUCUUAACCUGAAACAUAGUUUGUAUGGGAAAAUGCAGUCCAAAUUUAAAACUAGAUUAUUAGAAUUGAUAUGCUCCAUACAGAUGUCUCAGAAGUGGACCUGGGCAUAGUCACAAUGCUGAACUCUAUCUCUUAGUAAGUGGCUAUAUCUGCAGAACCCAAGCAUCAUCUUUAAUCAACUCUUCCUAGUUGAUGCCACUAUAAAUUAGGGAACAGACCCUAAAUACACACCACCCCAUCUCUUGAUUUCUUAUGGAGUUGACCCACAAAUUUCCCGCUUAUAGAAGACCUAGUCCCUAUUCUUAAAUCUAAUAAUCAUAAAGAUUUAGAGAGAGGAUGGAUCUCAAACUAUAAUCUUAGUCUUCUGAAUUUAGGUCAGUCAGAGUCCAAUAAGAAGCUGUCUAUUCUCAUCAAACAAUGACAAACUCCAAAGGUCAUUCAGGGAAAACAUAAAUCAUAAAGCAAAGAAAAUAUUUUUAAAAGUUUUAAGGGAGGAAGAGGCAAAACAAAAUGAACAGGUAGCUGAUGCUAGCAUGCAAUUGUUCAGAUGCCUGGGUUUGCCAAUUGAUCAGUCUCAUACAAAUCAACAUGGGAGCUAUCACUAAAGGUUGAUAUCAUCUCAUCAAGUAAGGCCAAGUUAGCAAUAUCUAAUUUUUGUACCAGAUGAGGCAGUCAGAAAAAUGUGUGAGCUGAAUCUUUUUCAGAAGCCAAAAAUGAGUCUGAAUAGAAGCAUAUAACCUAGACAUUCAGCAGGCUUCUUCCAGUGACAGCUCUACAUGUAGACACAAAGCAUACUUAUCUUCUCUCUAUACGCACACACAUGUGUAUCCAAUUUAAUAUGCUGCAUGAGAAAUAAUAUACAUUUCAAAAUAAUAUACAUGUCAAAAAGCCUGAAUGGUGCUUUUGGAGGCAGAAAGAAACUCAUAUUUUGCUUAAAAUUUUAUUUAUUUAUUUAUUUAGUCUUUUGCCUUUUUAGGAGCACACCGGUAGCAUAUGGAGGUUCCCAGGCUAGGGGUUGAAUCAGAGCUGCAGCCACUGGCCUACGCCACAGCCACAGCAACGUGGUAUCUGAGCCACAUCUGCAACCUACACCAUAGUUCACUGCAACGCCAGAUAAGGCCC